UUGUGUUGUGGCUGGUAGUGGCCAAUUGGAUGUAGUUACGGAUUUACCUAGAGUAGAGGUGUUUGAGUCUCCCUAUGGUGAUACUCUUGGUGAUGUUAGGUUACGUGAGGACCAAACUCUUGUUGUAAGUACGUGACACAAGAAUAAUGGCCGCCUUAGCUUUUGACGACAUCAUUCAAAGUCACUAUGUGAAGAAUCAAGCUUUGGUCACAUGGAGGGCAUGGGAUCAUACUUGGAGGGGACGUUUUGAACCUACCAUUGAUCAAACCCGAGUGUGGAAGAUUGCUUGAAGCCUUGAAGACUUAAGGACUCUCGGGUUUGGACCAUCUUUGUUGGUUCACGGUUUUGGUGCCCUUUAUGAAGGGCAUUUUGGUCACUUAGCCUUAACGGCAUUUUGGACAAUUCAUAUUGUUUUCCAGCACACCAAGGCCACCCUUGGUCAUUAAGGGUAGUGUAGUCUUUUUUGCCUUCUUUUGUAAUAUACUAUAAGUAGGAUUUUUUUAGGUCUUCUCUCAUUUGUUUUAUGAAAGAUGAAAGAUUGAAACAUUAAAAAUCCUCUCUCUUGAGAGUAGAACACUUAGUCUUAGUUAGGGCUUGGAAAAGCUAGUAUUGAUCUUUUCUUGGAAAUGGUGGAUCUUGAGGUGAGUUGAUUCCCUUGGCGGUCACCAUAAGAGUGUGGUUUUAAUUGUUACAUUCAUUAGGGGUUUUUGAGUUUAAUACACUCUUUAGUUCUUAAUCUUGUAAUAAUCUUGGUCUCACUAUCUAUCCUUUACUUUUGUUGUUGUCAUCUUGUGUAGUGGACUGUUUUGGGUCCUUUAUUGAAUCCAAAACUUGUAUUAUUGUUAUUCAUCUUGUUCCUCACAUUUUGUAGCUAUUUUUGGUGUUAUAUACACCAUUGUAUCUUGUAUUCUUCUUGUUGAUAGCGAAUUCGAGAGUGGUCUCCAUCUUUGUCCUCGGAUCCUUAAGAUUGGGGACUGAUUUAGAGUGUGUUUUGUCCCUUCCGUUGUCUUUUUCAUAUCACUUGGUAUCAAAGAAUGGCUUGAUCUUGUUCCCACAAUAUCAAUCUUGGGCUAGUUAGUUGAAAAAUAAAAAAAAAUUGUUAAAAAAAAAUGUUGAAAUCUGAAAAUUCCAGAAAAAUAGCAAUCUGUCCAUUUUGUCUUCUUGGUCGAAAAUUGUGUUCUUGUUGUGUAUUGGCCAAUAUUUUUACUUGUAUUUGUUGUCUCUAAGUGUUAGUUUUGUUCCUCACUAACACGUUGAGUCUAUAUCUUAAAUUUGAGCUUGAAAUGUUGAUGUUGUUAAUGUGAACAAAGUGUGACCGAUUGUUGUUGGUAUUGUUGUUGCGGGUUCGAGACUUGAACGUGUGAUAUGUUGUUGGUUCAAGUUUUGAACAUGUAUUGUGGAGAUUGUGUUUUGGAAUUUAAUCUUGGGAAGUUGUUGUUGUUGUUUGGGAGGUCCAACUUGAACCGUAGAACUUCAAAACUCAAAGUUUGUGUUCUUGGUGUUCUUCACCAUCUCCAUAUAUUAUUCAAAAAAAGUGGUUGUUGAUCUUAGAAGUUGAAGAAAAAGAGUGUGUAUUGUGUUAGUCUUUCAAGACAUAGAUCCAAGUUUCAAGGUGUAGUACUUGUGACUCAGACUUUUCCUACACACUAAAGACUUUACAUCACUUCUCAACCACUUUCCCAUGAAACAAGGGUCCAUGUUUUAAGGAGAAGUACAAGAAAAAGUCAAGUCUUGAAAAUUGAAAAGGCUCCAAGACUUAUUUUCCCUUUUAAAACAAAUUCCACCAAUCUAAAUUAAUUUUUGACCAAGACUUGAACCUUUGAGAAUAACCACUUGAUAAAACCGACCCAAUACGUGGCUGCCACAUCAUCACCCCUACUGUUCACGCAAUAUUUUCAAGCUCAAAUUUUAGAUUCUUAGUUUUAUCUUAUUGUUUCAUUAGUUUCAUGUCUUGAUUCUAGAAUUAAUUAACAACUAGUAAUCACCUACUUAGUUGUAGAUUAAUAUUGAAUCCGUUUCUUCAUGUCUUAGUUAUUUGUAUGCUUUUCUCAUUUUUAACUCGUAGUAACUGCUUUGUUUCAAGUCAUAAGUAAAUUUUGUUUUGUUUCUUGAGUCGAUCAAGCAAGAAUCUAUUCUGGCCGCCAAGUAGAAUUAACAUCCUAUUGACUACCGUAGUAUAAGCAACUUUCCAUAUCCACCGCUCCAAUUGUGAGAAUCACAAAGGCGAGUGUAGACGAGGGUUAGUGAGAAGAUUUUACUACUAAUAUUGUUUGUUCAUUUUGUAGGUUCAAAAGGUGAUAUAAGGGGAAUAUAUCUUCGAUAGCCGGGAAUUAUUGUGACUACAACAUGGGAGACUAUGGUUGUAGUGAGGGGUUUUAUGGCUACGAAGUUGAGAGAGAUUGUGGAGGCUAUGAAAAUAGCCAUGAUCGACACUUGGGCAGAUUUGAAAGUUACUGUUUUGAGGGAGAAAAUGAGGUGAAUGAAGUGCCUAGUGCUUAUGGUGACUUUGGAGAUGAUGUAGGACCUCAUGAUGGAUCUUAUGAUGACGUUGGGGCAUGUGAGGAGUCCUACACUUCUCACUCCAAACCUAAAUUUGGUGUUAGGUAUAACCCUUUCGUUCGCAAAGCUUAUGGGAGUUAUGAUGAGAGUACAUGUGAGGAGUGUGAAUAUUCAUAUUCUCCACCUUGUAGUACUUCUUAUCAAGAUUGAUAUAUUGUGAAUUGUUAUACUAGCUCUAGUGGAGGUUGUUCAAUGAGAAGAAGAGGGUAUGCAUCUCCAAAACUGAGGGGUGCUCGUGUCCUUUACAAUGUUGAUCAAAGAAGAAGUGUACAAUCUGGAAAGGUGGCCAUUUGUGGGAUACCGGGCUGCCUCGUUGUGUUAAAUGAUAGGUACUAUAAAAAAUAUAUUGUUCCAUCCAUGGUUGACUACUUGGGGUUGUUUUCCGAGCCUUUACUCAUUCCAUACUUCUUGGAUGGGUUUAAGGUUACCGAGAGGGUCAAAGUUGUCUUCUCCCAAUUUGAGUACCAUGAAGAGGUGUGGUGUGAUAUUCUUCCAUUGACAUAUGGUCAUGUAUGCUUAGGUGUCGAUUGGUUUACACAACAUAGAGUUUCAAAUGUGCAAAAUUAGCAUAAUAUUUUAAGAGAUCGGUGGAGAAAUCACCUCAUGACAUACAUGCUGCCCGAGUUGCAAAGAGAAGUGAAUACUUACUCCAAUCCGAAUGCUUAUGAGAGAAAAAAGAUUGAGAGGAGUAAGGGUGUGCAAGGUGGUAAUCUGAGAAUGGAAAAAAGAGAGGUUGUGUGGAGCGAAGUGAGGGGAUUAUCACCAAACGUGUUAACAUUGGUUGUCCUUCUAUUUCUAAGGACAUUUGUGUAGGUACUAACAUGGCAAGCGAAGCCGAACAAUGCCGAAAGUAAGUUUCUGCCCAAGCUUAUGGAGGACCUUCACACCAUGGCAAAGAAGAAUCUACUCAAGAAAUUCAAGGUAAAAUAGCUAACUCUUACACUUUGGUGCAUGAGAAUGAUAUUCGUAUGGCUAGUAGCCCAUUGAGUGUGAGUAGUAGCUUACUUACUUGUGAGUUAAAUGAUUCUUUAUCUCUUGUUGAUGAUGUACAUAUUGUGAGUGUGGAUACACUAGUUGAUCCUAUUGAUGACCAAAUUGACUCUUCUUGUAAGGUUAAUUUAUGUCCACCUAGUGUUGAAACCUAUAUGUUGAACGGAAGUACAUCAUCUUGUGUAAUCGGUGUUGAUCAACUUACUUGUGAAAAUUUUCCACCACUUGAGUAUGUGUGUGAUGUGAUUAAUAGAACUCAAGUGAGUGAAGUAUUUGAAAUUAUUGGUCACCAAAAUGGGAGUGAACCCGAGAGCCAUUCUUGGGACAAUCUUAUGCUUGAAAUCUCUUUGAAACAUGAUAUUGAUCUUUUAGAGAGUGAUGAACGUGUUUGUUCCGAAUCUGCCCGGGAAAUAGAUCAUCCUCUCUUUAAGUAUAAUGUCUUGUUUGAAGAUGAUUUAAACACUCCUAAUGAACCUAGUGGUGAGAAUGGUGGUAUAGCUUGCCUUGAAGGCUAUAGCCGAUAUGCUAACCCACUAUGGUGUGACAACAUUCCUCCUAAAGAUGGAAAUCUCUUUUUGAAAGAUGAGAGUACUCUUAAGGGUAAGAAAUGUGUAAUCCUUCUUGAAAAUCCGAGGACAAAGGUGUCAUUGACUCCUUGGGGUAAUGUUCCUAAAUGUGCAUCCUUUUUUGACACACUUGUGCCUAAAUUGCAUGAAUUCCAACUUAUGGAUGCCAAGUUUUCUAGUUAUUUGAAGGAAAGAUGUGUAUGUGUUUAAAUGCUUAUUCUUCACCCGUGAAUGCCUUUGCACGUGAUUCUUUCCUAUACUACCUCUUUGCCUAUGAUGACAUCCAUGCUAGUUUUGGAUUUAUUUUAUGUCGAGAUAGGAAGUUUGUUGGUCUGUCCAUAUGUGUGCGUGAUAAUGAUAUAUGGAUUUUAUGGGCUUUAAAACCAAUCGAAACCCCUCCUUGGUGUGGUCUUUUGACGAGAUAAAGAAGCAAUGGUGUCUUAUAGCUCAUAAGAUGAAGGAAGUUCUACUUUGUGGAUUAUUUGAUUCCAUUAGGACCUAUGUAGUUUCUUUAUCUCUUGGUGAUUCCCGUAACCAAAUCCUUUGUGAACCUUUUAUUGAGCUUUUAAUAUUUAAUUUAAAGGAUCCUUGGUUAUAUUGCAAAUAUGUUCAACCUUGGUAUGUUGAGAUGAUUUGUUAUACUAACCCUAAUCCUCAUGCCAUGAGGAGUUUGUAUUUGUUUGCCCUCUCUUCGGUUUUGCUAGGUUUGGAUUCGAGGUCGAAUCCUUUUCAAGAAGGAGAGGAUGAUACAAGAAUAAUGGCCGCCUUAGCUUUCGACGACAUCAUUCAAAGUCACUAUGUGAAGAAUCAAGCUUUGGUCGCAUGGAGGGCACGAGAUCAUACUUGGAGGGGACGUUUUGAGCCUACCAUUGAUCAAACCCGAGUGUGGAAGAUUCCUUAGAUCCUUGAAGACUUAAGGACUCUCGGGUUUGGACCACCUUUGUUGGUUCACAGUUUUAGUGCCCUUUAUGAAGUGCAUUUUGGUCACUUAGCCUUAACGGCAUUUUGGACAAUUCAUAUUGUUUUCCAACACACCAAGGCCACCCUUGGUCAUUAAGGGUAGUGUAGUCUUUUUUGCCUUCUUUUGUAAUAUACUAUAAGUAGGAUUUCUUUAGGUCUUCUCUCAUUUGUUUUAUGAAAGAUGAAAGAUUGAAACAUUAAAAAUCCUCUCUCUUGAAAGUAUAACACUUAGUCUUAGUUAGGGCUUGGAAAAGCUAGUAUUGAUCUUUGCUUGGAAACGGUGGAUCUUGAGGUGAGUUGAUUCCCUUGGCGGUCACCGUAAGAGUGUAAUUUUGAUUAUUACAUUCAUUAGGAUUUUUUUAGUUUAAUACACUCUUUAGUUCUUAAUCUUGUAAUAAUCUUGGUCUCACUAUCUAUCCUUUACUUUUGUUGUUGUCAUCUUGUGUAGUGGACUGUUUUGGGUCCUUUAUUGAAUCCGAAACUUUUAUUAUUGUUAUUCAUCUUGUUCCUCACAUUUUUUAGCUAUUUUUAGUGUUAUAUACACCAUUGUAUCUUGUAUUCUUCUUGUUGAUAGCGAAUCCGAGAGUGGUCUCCAUCUUGGUCCUCGGAUCCUUAAGAUUGGGGACUGAUUUGGAGUGUGUUUUGUGCCUUCCGUUGUCUUUCUCGUAUCCGUACGCAAGCACUAGUCGAUCCUUUAGAUGAAGAAAUUGAUUCUUCUUGUAAGAAUAAUUUAUGUCCAUCUAGUUCUAGCCCUUAUAACUUGAACAAGGUUCUAUUACCAAUUGACAAAAGUACUUACAUACUAGUUGACCCUUGUGCGAACCAAGGUGAGUCUACGUUGGUAUGUGAGUUGCCAACAACUAGUAAGGAUGUGAAUGAAUAUCAACUUACUCAUGAAUUUAUUCCACUACUUGAGCAUAUGUGUGGCGUGCUUAAAAAAACUCAAGUUAGUGAUGGUGUUUAUAGAGUUGAUCUUGAUGGUGCACGUGACUCUUUGAACAUCUUGUAUGGUAAAAGCCUUGCUAUUAGUUUUGUUCAUAAAGAUCAUGUGUAUGGAAAUGUUGUAAAUGAUGGCAUAUGUCUUUUUGAGGUAGGACUUCUAGGCCGUGUCUCUCUAUUCUUGAAUGUUAGUCUUCUCUUAAAGGCAAAUGCCAUGCAUGGUUGUGUGAGUGACAAACUAGGGGAAGGAAGGGCUAACCUCAGCUUAGACCCUUGGAUAAUUCUCCCAUUUGACCCCACAACCCUCCCGGAAUGUGGAAAUUUC
rnacentral:lncRNA from 1 species